rnacentral:lncRNA from 1 species
GUGUAAAUGCAUCUUACGAAACCAUAUUAUUUUUUUUGGGUUGAUUAAAGUCAUGUUAUCCCUUACCAUUCAUAAUGAAGUUGCCUUUAGCCAAAAGUAAGACAUGUCAGGAUUGAGGAACUGGGUGGGGCAUCCAUGCAUUUCUUUUGACACCAUUUUCCAGUUCCUUUUCCAAAUUAGCUGCUGCUGCUUCAGCUACCUUGGGAAACUUUCUCAGGAGCGAUCGAGGCCAGUGAUUCGGAAUUUCAUUAGUUGAAGUUGGAUCCAAACAAACAAGCAGUCGAUUUGUGUUACAUAUCAGACUAAACCAAAUGAGCAAAAAUGAAAGGAAUUCAGAGAAGAUAUGAAUCACACAGCGACACGCGCCCCAGUAAUUAGCAACAAGCACUGACAUGGGAGUUUGGGACUGGCAUAAACUUCCAAACACUUAUCUUCGAUCACUUUCUUCUGUUACAAAAUUGUUAGGUUGGUCCCUCCUUAGUGGAGGUGAGAAACCAUGGGUUGAAUUACACACAAGGAAAGCAAGAAGAACUAUUGCUUUGGUGACCAUGUAAAAGGAAUGCUAGCUAUACGUGUAGCUAGGGUGGUGCAGCAAUUGUUGAAUGUUGAUGGAAGUAUGCAUUAGUUAGCAUGCCAACAUAGAGCAUGAAACAAGGAGGAAGCUUGACUUUGCUUCCAUGCAUGGUACGUGCACAAGGAGAAAUGCAUGAAGAGCUAUGCCUAUAUAAAGGUAUUAGACACAAGAACAAAGGCAUCUGAGCUUUUCAAGUUCAUGAUCAAGGGAUCCGAACUUGCUCCAGUUCGAGAUCAAGGCUAGGGCAGAGUCAUCCAAACUAGAGAAAGUUUGUGAGAGUAGUGAGAUCCUCACUUGAGAGAUUAGUGAGAAGAAAAUUCCGAGAGAGAGAGAGAGAGAGAGAGAGAGAGAGAGAGAGAGAGAGAGUGUGUGUCUACNNNNNNNNNNNNNNNNNNNNGAGAGAGAGAGAGGUGUGUUGCCACUUUAGUUAGUCUAGAGUGAGUGUUUUUUGUAAUCUCAUUAUUUAGUAUAGUGGAAGAAAGUAUUACUGAUGCCCCGAGGACGUAGACACAUUUGCCGAACCUCGUUAAAUAUUGUGUCUUCUUUUUGUUGUUAUUUCCGCAAAUCACACAAUGGGUGAAAAAAUCAGAUCCUGGGAUAACCGCAGCCACUUCUUAUCCAACAAUAGCUUUCGUUUGCAACACUUUGCUCUCUGUACAGGUAAUGCAUGACUGGUGGUAGAAAGUUUCUAAUGAUGCCAUCUCCAAUAAGGGAAACUAAUGAAACUGUGAAAGUUUACAAGAUCGUUCAUCUCAUAAUGUUUAAGGGAUAAUUCUGUAACCAUCUGAUUCAUAGACCAAGGUAGACCCAACAAAACAAAAGGUUGAAUCAUGUAUCUGCUACAUCAUCUGUGCCGAUGUUCGUCGCUCUGCUUGAAUGCCUUUUUGUUGCAGUAGUGGUAUGGGUGACCUAUUCGGAAGUUGGCCCAUUUCAGAAAGCCCACUGACCGACCGCAAGCUAUUAGAUGCAUUUUUGUUGCCGUGCCAGUAAUAAUGCAGCAUCUACGUUCGAGCCUCGACAUUCUCAAACUCGCUCAAAUUUGCACAUAAGUUCAGCUUUGGAGAUCGCUUUUGUUUGAUGGUUGUAUCGAUUUGAACUUCUCUAUAGAGAAGCUAAACAUAAUCACUAGGAAACACUGCCCGUGGGUUGCUCUUUCUUUCAGUUCGGAAGAUGGCCCAGAUUGCCUGUGAUAAGCCUCGAACCCAACAAUUUAUAGGAUGGACCAAGUUCUAGUGAGGAACCAAGGCCCAUGAAGCUCGACAACAAUUGAAUGUUGGCCCUCAAAAAUAUAAAUAGAAGAUUUGUGGAUUGUAUUGUAAAUUUGUAAUGGUAGAAUAAUUGUUGGAAGAUUGAAGUCUAAAUAAAUAGAACAAGGUUUUAGAUUUCUUUUGUUGGCGGUGGUACUGGUAAUAAUGCAGCAUCUAAGUUUUAUAUGUGCACUGAAAAACUUGGUCUCGGUCGGCCAAUUCACAUGGAUCCACAUGCUUGCCAUGGGAACCUACUUUUGCUUAGCGUAAUUCUCAUAUGUCUACAAUGUAUUAGCAAACAGAAAUUACGGAAUUGAGAGGUUAGGGUUUAGGGUAGAGUGUUCCCUAAUAAUCAUGUGCAGUUUGAAUGUCGUAUUAGAGGUUUCACUUGUGGAUGUUUUUUGGUGUUGUGUAGGUAUGAACGUCUUUUGAGACACUGUCGUGAGUUUAUAAUGAUCAAUAAUUGAGGCAUGCCUUGCCCCUGUGAACCUGAUGCAAUGCAGUUUCAUACUCCACAGCAGCGCCGGAUACAACAACCGCUUUUGCUUUCCUUACGACGGUGUUUAGGGCAAACAACCAACUUACUCUAAUCGCACCUCCCAUAUGUCUUCCUUGGCUACGUUAUUCCCUAAUGAAAACCUCUUUGUGCAUAUAAGAGAGAUGUUGACCUUCCCAUAUCCAACCAAAAUCGGAGUUCGUAAGGGGAGAGAGGAUGAGUGUGAUAUCCCACAUCAUCGGGGGAAGGGGAUGUGAAAUGCCUUAUAUGUGAAAAGACACCUCCCAAUAGCAAGACGUGUUUCUGGUUGGAAAUACAAGAAUAAAAUCGUGCGGGUAAAACCUAAAGCGGAUUACAACUCGUUAUGCAUGUUAGACACUUACAAGUGAUAUCAGAGUCGCUCUCAACCGGAAAUGUGCUAACAAGGACGUCGGGCCUUCAAGAGGGGUGAGAUGUGAGACCGGCGUCUUAGCUUGAGAAGUCAAUAACAAAACCUUAAAGGACCUAAAUGACUUAAAAUUAAGUGAUUUUUUUUUUAAUCAAAUACACAAUUAUGUAUUACAAUAUUGUGAGUCGAACUCACGUCUCUCACUUACAAAGAGAGAUCAUAAUUAAGUGAUUUUAUCGUGAAUUUAUAUAAGAGUCUCGUGAUUUUCUUUUAAUUUUGUAUCUAUAAAUCAGACGAGAUAUUUUGUUUGUGAAAAUUUGAAAAUAAUAGAAAGAGGUUGAUUUUGUUCGGCAUGGUGUGAUCGCGGUGCCAACUGUGAUUUGCCUGUCAGUUAAUUCGUUCCUCGCUGUUUCGUCUACCCACCAUCCCUCAGACUUAACCCUUCAUCAUCUUCAUUCCUCUCCAUCUCAGUAAGGUAUUACUCUCUCUCUCUCUCNNNNNNNNNNNNNNNNNNNNNNNNNNNNNNNNNNNNNNNNNNNNNNNNNNNNNNNNNNNNNNNNNNNNNNNNNNNNNNNNNNNNNNNNNNNNNNNNNNNNNNNNNCUCUCUCUCUCUCUCUCUCUCUCUCUCUCUCUCUCUCUCACAGUAGCAGCAGCAGCUGCUAAUAUAGCUGCUAAUAUCUCUUUCCUCCAUUAAAGUCACAUCCUCAAACUCCCCCAAGGUCCCCAAACUCCAAUCGAAAGCAACCCUUGAAUACACACACACAUCUCAGCCCAACACAAAAAUGCACGCCAAGACCGACUCCGAGGUCACAAGCCUCGCCCCUUCUUCCCCAACCCGAUCCCCCCGCCGCCCAGUCUACUACGUCCAGAGCCCCUCCCGCGACUCCCACGACGGCGAGAAGACCACCACCUCCUUCCAGUCCACCCCCGUCCUCAGCCCCGCCGGCUCUCCUCCCCACUCCCACUCCUCCGUCGGCCGCCACUCCCGCGACUCCUCCUCCACCCGCUUCUCCGGCUCCAUCAAGCCCGGAUCCAAGAAGAUCCAGCCCAACAACGACUCCUCCCGCCACCACCGCAAGGACGGCCACAAGGCCUGGAAGGACUGCGCCGUCAUCGAAGAAGAAGGCCUCCUCGACGACGACGACCGCGAACGUGGCUUCCCCCGCCGAUGCUAUUUCCCCGCCUUCGUUCUCGGAUUCUUCCUCCUCUUCUCCAUGUUCUCUCUCAUUCUCUACGGCGCCAGUAAGCCCAUGAAGCCCAAGAUCACCAUGAAGGUUCGUCAUCUUAUCCACACUCAUCCAUUUACAGCAAUUCAGCUGAUACUAGCGUAUUAAUUUUCUCUAAUUUUGAUCGCUGCAGAGUGUCAAGUUUGAACAGUUCAAGAUCCAAGCGGGUUCAGACUCCACCGGAGUAAGCACCGACAUGAUCUCCGUCAACUCCACCGUCAAAUUCACAUUCCGCAACACCGGCACGUUUUUCGGAGUCCACGUCUCGCCCGAGCCUCUAGAUCUAUCCUACUCUCAGAUCGCCAUCGCCUCCGGAAUCGUAAGCAUCAACACAAAUGUCCCCAUUCUCUUUUCAUUUCCAAAUCACAUUGCCAAUCUCCGUCUUAAUCUAUGGUUUAUUAUUAUUUUUAAUUCAGGUGAAGAAGUUCUAUCAAUCAAGGAGGAGCCAGAGAACAGUGACGGUGUCAGUAAUCGGCGACAAAAUUCCGUUAUACGGGAGUGGAGCUAGUAUAAGUAGCUCAACGGGGACGACAUUGCUGCCGGUGCCGCUGAAAUUGGAUUUCUUGAUCAAAUCUAGAGCCUACGUUUUGGGUAAACUAGUGAAGCCCAAGUUCAACCGGCGCGUGGGAUGCACUGUAACUUUCGAUCCUAAGAAGCUCAACGUCGCAAUCGCGCUCAAGAAUUGCACUUACAGUUAAUUAAUUCACAAAAAGAAUGAGGAAGAAGAAGAGAGGUUUCUAUUUUAAUCGUGGUUGGUUUCCUUUUCGGUGAUGGACAACUCAGCGGGCAGCUUUCGGAGUUGGACGGGCAGGAUGUGCAGAGAGUGAGGUAAAAAACGCGGUUUUGGACUUUUUGGGCUGCCCGAAGAGUGUAGAGUCGGUGACUUGUGGGUAUUGUGUUACAUUAUUCACCUUGUCUUUUGUUUAUUUAUUCUUUUUUUUCUUUUUCCCCGUUGUAUUAUUAAGAAAUUAUUUAUUUUCAGGCAAUAAUGCAACUGUGUUUACUUUUUGGUUCGGUAUUUGGGGGGGGGGGGGGNNNNNNNNNNNNNNNNNNNNNNNNNNNNNNNNNNNNNNNNNNNNNNNNNNNNNNNNNNNNNNNNNNNNNNNNNNNNNNNNNNNNNNNNNNNNNNNNNNNNNNNNNNNNNNNNNNNNNNNNNNNNNNNNNNNNNNNNNNNNNNNNNNNNNNNNNNNNNNNNNNNNNNNNNNNNNNNNNNNNNNNNNNNNNNNNNNNNNNNNNNNNNNNNNNNNNNNNNNNNNNNNNNNNNNNNNNNNNNNNNNNNNNNNNNNNNNNNNNNNNNNNNNNNNNNNNNNNNNNNNNNNNNNNNNNNNNNNNNNNNNNNNNNNNGAUAUAUGAAGUUGAGGAAGCAUUUCUAGUGAGAACUUUUAAGUUAAGGAUUUUUCUGUUAUGGUUUAAAAGACUCAUUUGUCGAUCACAUUUUGACAUCUCAUCCUUUCAGUUUUUAUGUUUAUAUGAGUAGAUCAUUUUUACAAAUUUUCAGCCAAAUUGAUGUUCGUUAAGAUAACAAACUAGAUCAAAUUAAUAGCCGAAUUAAAUAUGUCAAAUAUGAACUGUUCAAGUUCAUAAUUGAUAAAUCAUACUUAUGAAUGUCUUUCUAGUGAGGACUCUUAAGUUGAGGACUUUUCGGUUAUGGUUUAAAAGACUCAUUUGUCGAUCACAUUUUGACAUCUCAUUCGUUCAGUUUUUAGGUUUAUAUGAGUAGAUCAUUUUUACAAAUUUUCAGCCAAAUUAGUGUUCGUUAAGAUAACAAACUAGAUCAAAUUAAUAGACGAAUUAAAUCUGUCAAAUAUGAACCGUUCAAGUUCAUAAUUGAUAAAUCACACUUAUGAAUGUCUUAAUAUGAAUGCCUUAACAAUUUUCAAUAUAGCUGAAAAUUUGGAGAAAUGAUCUACUCAUAAAUACCUAUAAACUGAACAGUCAAGAUGUGGAUAUAAGAUCGAAAGGUGGGAUAAGCCGAAAAGUCCUCACCAAGUCCUCAAGUUAAGGGUCCUCACUAAAAGGGCUCCAUGAAGUUGAUAUUGUGUUUUCAGGUUAUAUAUAUUGUUUGUCAUGAGCAAAUGAUGUUAUUUUGACCAAUUUAGUUAGAUUUUAGGCACAUCAAUAGUUGUUGUUUCGUUCGCUCUUUUAUCUGAAAGAGUUCAUAGUAAACAUAAACAAAACCGGUUCAACUAAAGAUGCGUGUAGGUUAGGGAUAAAGUUUCUGACACCAUCUCUAUUGUAAUUUCUCUUAUUUGCGAGAAUCACGCCCAAAUUUUCACCAAAAGUACGAGAGUUGGUUUCAACAUCGCGACAAAAUGUUGAAUAGCUAUCACAUUGUGAUUUGUUGAAGAAGAUAAAACAUACAAGGAUGCGAAAUGAAAUAUUUCUUUAGUUCAUUUCCCUAAGAAUGGAUGGACAUUUGGAUUGAAUGUGAGAAUUGAAUGAGAAAUUAAUAAAGGCUAUAAAUGGAGGGUGUUCUUUUAACACACCAUUUAUUGUUAUUCACACACCCUUCGUAAUUUUGUUUUUAUUUUAAUACAAUUAUAUCUAUAAUCUACCUAAACUACCCUCCUGGGUCACCCCAAAUCCUUUCCAUCACCAAAUCCAUCUAAAACGCUCAUGUCCCAUUCCAACGCGCACAUAUCUGGUCCUUUCCCAUUUUAGCAAAUUUGAUAAUACAGAUCUGGUUUUUUCUAUCGUACUCUGCCACCACAUUUUUGGAUAGGGAAUCCGAGAAUCAGGAAAAUGUAUGGUCGGUUUUACUACAUUCUGAUGCUAGACUCACCGCUCACCUGCCAACUAUCUCAUUGGAUUCUCUGUACAACUCGUUGGAGGAAUUUGGGUCGAUCUGAUGAGAACGGCUUGUGUGUUUUGAGGAAUUAGUUUAAUUAGUUUUGGAUGAUUGAGAUGGACGUGGGUUUGAGUUUGGGGGCAGGUCUGAGACAUGAGUUAAGGUUAGGAAGGGAAAGAGGAGGUGUUUUAAGGUUCGUGGAGAAUUCCAGGCCGCUGGAGAUGGAGUAUUGGAUGACGAAUAUGGCGUCCAUGGAAUCUGGUGAGUUAUUGAAGAGAGAAUGAUAGUUGGGGCACAUUGUAAAUAUAAUUAUAUUAAAAUAAAAACAAAAUUCUAAAAAAUAUGUGAAUAACAAUAAAUAAUGUGUUAAUAGCAUCACCCAAACAUCAUUCAAUAUAGCUCUCCUUUUGAAUUUGGAUCAUGGUUCAGUGUCCACACCCAGGUUGAGGAUUGAGGGAUCCCAAAUCAGCCCGCCGCAAAAAUCAAACCACCGAAGGUCCUCGAAGUUAAUUUGGCAAAAGUACAAGGACCAUUCAGCAAAAAUAUGCGAAUCUUUCACGGCCAGCUCGCUGUGCUUAUGACACAACAAGUAAUCUCUCCUCGCUCUUUCUCUCUCUACAGUUUCAGACUCUCUCCUUCUUCGUCACCACCUUGUGGAGUUUAGCUAUGGCUCUUCCCCAACACCACUUUCAACAACACUACCAGCCCCAACAACAGCAACAGCAACAGCAACAGCAACAGCAAACGCAAUCCAAGUCAUUCAGGUAAAAUCAAUUGGUUCUCUUCCUUCGAUUUCAUCUCACAAUUUCAGUUUCACACAUUUUGAAUUUUUUUUUCUUUUUCAUUUCUGCUGCUAGAAAUUUGUACGCGAUCGACGGUCAGAUGUCGCCGGCGGUGGCCUACUUCGACCCCAACGCCUUGCAAGAUCACUCCCAGCACCCGCCUUCGCCUUAUGUUCCCCCCUGUAAUUUUCUCUCUCCUCCUUUUUCUUUUAUGGCUCUGUUUGGUUCCAUGAAACCCUAAUUCGAAAUUCAAUUUCGUUACACCCAAUGUUCUAUACUCCAAUCUAACUUGUGAGCAAAAUUGUCAUUUUCUUGAAGAAUUAAGCAUUGGAAAAUGCAAGGCUGAAGUAAUUGAUAUUUUCUCUUUUCAUGAUCAAAACCUAAUUUUUGAGCUUGAUAUGAUCUGAAAUCAGUGGUGUGUGUUUGUAGUUCAUGUAGUAGGGUUUGCACCGGGUCCGGUGGCUGCAACAGACGGCAGUGACAAUGGUGCUGAUUUUCAGUGGAACUAUGGCUUAGAAUCCAAGAGGAAAAAGCUCAAGGAGCAGGAUUUCUUGGAGAACAACUCGCAGAUGUCGUCGGUUUUGCAGCAGCAAUCAGUCUCGACAGGCUUGGGUCUGUCCCUUGACAAUAAUCGCAUGGCGUCUACAGGGGAUUCAGCUUUGCUGUCUCUCAUUGGCGAGGAUAUUGAUCUUGAGAUACAGCGGCAGGAUUCUGAAAUUGAUAGGUUCCUCAAAGACCAGGUCUGUUUUUUUUUUUUUUCUGGAAAUAGUUUUUAUGAUGUUGCGUGGUUGAAUAUAUUGCAUGAACUGUGUUGGAUGGUUGCGUGAGAUUUGUAAGUUCGUAUUUAUAUGUGCAUGGUUUCUUAAUCUGCUGGUAGUAAUUGGUCUUACGAGUGUGUCUGUUUGUUUUUGUUGUGGUCGUAACAUGGUAUUAUGUCUUUGGUUUUCUGGUUAUGGCAAUGGCUGUCGUUUCUAUCUUAAUUUCAUCGGUGUGCAAUUAUUGAUAGUUAUUGUGCGAUCGGUUGCCACGUAUGCUGUCGGCAUCUCAACCCUGUAACCGGUUAACUUAUAUUUCAAAAAUGCUCAAACCAUACCAUUACAUUGAAUGAGUUAGAUGUGGAUUGCCUAAAGUGAAAUGAUUAUUGAGUCUCUUAAUAUAUUUUAACAAGGUGUAUCCUUGUCAACUGUAGUAAGCAAUGUUCUAGAAUUUGUCAUUAGGGUAGUCUCUUAAUAUAUUUUAACAAGAUGCACUGAGAAAAUUAUCACCUCGCCAAAAGACAUAUGACUGGCUUACGUUACGGAUAAGUAUUAUUGAUAUCUAUAACCGAAGAACGUACCAUAAAUGAUGUUCCAUUUGUAAACUUAUGUCUCAUCUUCUCAUUGUCUCCAACCACGAUUAGACAAUUGUAAUUCUUCCUCUUCACCAAUAUGGGAGACUCAGAUGCCAAAUCAAACAAAUAGUUAUUUUUUUCCUUAAUAUAGGAACUAUUCCACUUUCAUAGAGAAUUGUUGUAUUUUUGGUUUAUUGAACUUGAAGAUGCUUUCUAGAGUAAUAUGCAGAUUUGAAGUGGUGGUCAUUCAAAGGUUUGGGGAGGGAGAAUUUAGGUGAAUAUGGGAGGUAGAGCAUGUAAUGGUCUGCAAAAAUGUUUGGUUCGGAUGUUUAUGGUAUAUUCUGUCCUCUUUGUUUGUUAAACUUCUUGUUGAAGAUCUUAUCUGUAUCGCUAAUGUCUGUUGCUACAAUGUCAUUUUUUAGGAUCAUUCUGGAGUCAUGUCAUGAGCGUCACUAUGCUGUACUAUUGUAGCAAUUGUAGUAGAUAACCCAACCAGUUAAGAUAUAGGUGGACAGUUACUUAUGUCCCAUUAAUAGAGUAAUGGAAACUAGAAUCGCUCCUUUCAGUAAUUCUAGUUAAAAUGAAUAUUUAUCAGAAUUCUUUCUGGGUUUUCUCUGUUGACCAUGGCUGGCUUGUUGAACUUUCUGUCGCCCACAUUGUUUUCUGGCAGUUUUGUUUUGUCUGCAAUUUUUCGAGACUAGCAAUAUUUCUAUAGUUAUAAUGCAACUUAUCAAACCAACUCUAAUGUUCACUUCUUAUCUAGAGUGAUCGUUUGCGACAAAAUAUCCUGGACAAGGUCCAAGCUGCCCAACUUCAAACUCUCUCAGUUGUAGAAGAAAAGGUACUCCAGAAACUCCGGGAAAAAGAAGCAGAAGUGGAAAGCAUCAACAAGAAGAAUAUGGAGCUUGAAAAACGAAUGAAUCAGUUGGAUCUUGAAGCCAGGAUUUGGCAACAUCAAGCCAGCAACAAUGAACACAUGAUCGCAGCUCUCAAGGAUAAUCUUGAUCAAGUAAUUGCUCAAAGUAGAGACAGCAAAGAAGGAUGUGGUGACAGUGAAAUAGAUGAUACAGCUUCCUGCUGCAAUGGCCGUUCCAUCAAUUUCAAUAUGUUCGGCAAGCAGAGCAAUGAUAUGAAAGAGGUGAUGACGUGCAAGGCCUGCAGAAUGAAUGAAGUGUGCAUGCUUCUAUUACCUUGUAAGCAUCUUUGCCUGUGUAAAGACUGCGAAAGUAAGCUCAGCGUUUGUCCUCUGUGUCAGUCCUCUAAGUUUAUCGGCAUGGAAGUAUUUUAUUAAUGUUACUCAGUUCAUGUGAAGUUGUAAUCUUAUGUACUCACAGGCAUUGUUGUUAUAAUCUGGUCAUUACUUGCUUGAAUAGCAUCCCAAUACAGUCGAUUCAAGUAAAGAAUUGCAUUGACUUUAGCCUUAUGUGAAUAUGAGCAUUUGUCUCCAAUUUUGUAUCUUGAAAUUCCUGUACUUGUAUGUUUCUAUAUGAAGUCCGAAAUGCUUUGUUUUGUUUUGGCUCGUAAUCAGACGAAACCUCCAAAAGAGAGGCUCCGUUUGAGGCUUGAUCAAUUGGAAUGUGUCGUAACUUCUAAGCAUUCUCUAUAAAUGGUGAGCUUAAUGUAUAGGGGAAUUCCAACAUAAAAUAUAUUGCUAUGUCUUAUAUGUCACAACAUACAUUACACGGAUGACUCAAGGUACCUCCGAAUUUGCCAGACCAUGUAAACUUUCAUUUCAAUUUAAAUAGUCAGUUUUUAAUCUCAUCAUUGAUGGAACCAUGAUACUUAAAAGUUUUGUAUUGAAGUGUUGUUUUUGUAUGAGACUACUUGGCAAAAGAAUGAAGAUGCAAACCAUACUUGAAUGAAAAAUCAUUAGGUAUGGUUGUCCCUAUCACGUGGUGAUGUGACAGAUCAAUAGAAAUGCAACAAACUUUGACAUAGUUACUCUCUUUUUUUGGUUCCGUUAUUGUUUGGUUUUAGGUUUGAGGAAGAAACAGACUCCACAACCACCAUCACCGCCAUACUAGCUUUCGAACCCGGCCAGCUCGUGAGAAAAGCGGACGCCUUAACCACAAAGCUAACGGAAAACCAAUAGUUACUCUCUUUUUUAAAUAUAAAAUACCCAUGAUACGCAUUCUAUGUGUUUUUAUUGGUCAGACUUACCGUCAUGUGAUACACUUGUCCUAAGUAAGAAUCUUUAGGGUGAGAAUUGUAGAGUUCGACAUGCGGCACCGUUAGUAGUAGACACAUGGGCUGAUGGACCCAAAACAACUGGACUGGCCUGCUAUACAACAUUAAAGGCCCGCCGUUUACUAUGAGAGUAGCGGGUAUAUAGAUCUUGUGACUUGUCUUGCAGCUGGACUGGGCUGCUACUAGACUGCAGGUGAACAAGCUACAAGAAGAAAAUAAGAGAUGGGCUACUGUCGUCAUUUGAAACAAGCUCGACUUUGUUGCCUUUUCGACUAUAUGGAAAGAGGUCGAACUAGUAACUCGAUCAGAGUCAUCCUAACCUAGUUCGUGAAUCGCCACAUCCUCAUCACCAACCUAAUUAAGUUACCAAGGCAAGUGAUACUGAAACAAUAGGAGGAUAUAUAAGCUUCAUCGUGGAGAGGGAAACAGCUCGGAUCACUAGCGUCGACUAUGAGGUGAUCCAAGAGAAUAAAGAGCUCAGAUCAUUAGCUUGAGUAGCUUCGAAAAUGAAGUGAUCCAGUCGCACCUUCCAGUCCGAUCAUGAUUUUCCUACCCGCAUAGGGAAAGGUCCUUAUGUGUUCUUCCCUUGUUAAUCUCUCCACACUACGAUUCUUUGAUUAUGCGUAGGUUCACAUAGACACAUACAUUCUCGCGUUGUGUUUACAAAGUAUUAUGAAUCUUUAAUAUUCAUCAGAUUUUGAAUAGUUGAGCGAAAGCCAAUUAGCUAACCCUGAACCCCCAAUGUUAUUUAAUAAUAUAUCAAUGUCAACAGUAAUAUAAAGUUGAGCUUAUUUUCUUCAUCAUGGUAUGAAUCUUGGGGAGGAAGCUUAUGAUUUUGAACCUAUUGGAAGGUGUGGUGUUGCAGAAAAGUAGGAGGGAAUUGGGAGUUUUAAGUAGCUUUAGUUUGAGGGAUUAGAAUUAGAGGGAGAGAAAGAUUGAACAAAACUUUUAUCUAAUCAUGCCCUAGAAAGUGAUGACAAAGAAGAAAGUGAAUAUGCUUACCCCAUGAAUCCAUGAUUGUAAACUAUAAAUCUAAGCUAGCUCUAUAAUUAUUAUCACGACUAUUAUCGAUCAUUAUGAAUCCCACCUCCACUUCCACCACCGCAAACCCCAUAGCCGAACUCGAUCAGGUCCUGUCAAACUCAUAUACUCGAUCAUCAUAUAUUCAUCACUUUACCUUUUCUUUCCUAAAUUCUAAAAACCCUCAUGAAAUCUUUAACAUUUGGAUCCACUAGCUACUGAAUUAUUAUAUGAAUUUCAAAUAUUGAGGAAAGAUUGGAACUCACUUUGGUUCAGGCUCAAUCAUUCUGAAAACUCCUCCUUAUUCCCUAUAAAGCUGUGCAGGUUUCAUUUUUUCUGAGCUUCACUUUCUUUCCUUUUUUUUUUUUCUUUUUUUUUUUCUUGUUUCCAUUGUAGGGACUCUGCCCAGCCUUUUCAUGGCUUCAUUCCACUUUGUACCUCCUUGCCUUCUUUUCACCAGACGUUCGUAUGUUAGUGAAAGUAUAUUUAGGGCUCCAACUCAUUAUUCUCUCUCACUGUCAAAAGUUAUUCCAUAUCCCAUUUUAAUUCUAAAGUGAACAAAUGAGCUUUUGUGAUCUGAUAGCCAUGCUUCCUGCCUUCUUUCAGGGUUUCUGUUUUUCAGUAGCUUUAUCUUUUAAGUCUGGUUUGAUUAGUGGUGUCGAUGUAUGUAAAUAUUGAGUUUAUUUACUCUCAUUGACGUGGGAAAAUAAUAAUAAUUUGGCAUAGUCUCUCUUGCAAUUUGCAGCAAACUCAUAAAUAAGAAGUGAAGUACUUGUGAAGAAUGAAGAUCAACUAAAAGCCUAACAAUGAUUUCAUUUCAUUGUUAGUAAAUUACUACUACUGCUAUAUAUGAAAGUUAACCACUUGCAUACCACCAUGAAAACUGCAUUAUUUUACAGAUUCUAAUCUAGAAUGUCUUGGAGUUUUACCAUUUCAAUAUCCGCCAAACCACUGCCUAGUAAUUUGGUGAUUAUUACACAAUGAAAAACAAUUGGUGUGGAGUAGUGCAGGCUUCGCAGAUCUCUAUAGUGCGUAUAAAGAAACACUAAUUAAGUAGCUUCCAUCUCCAACUUGUUGAAUCGAUCAUGCAACAUAUAUAUGCAUGUCUAUAAGAUCCGGGAUCAAUAAUAUAAGGCCCCCCACCAGAAACUAAAGUUAUUCUAUUUUCUGUUGCGGAAAAGAAAAAGACAUUGUCUAAUUCGAGAGGUCAUGCAUCCAAAAUAGAACACUUUACAGUUCAAAGCUCCACAACCAUUUACAUUAGAUGUUGAACCUUAAUUGUCUCAUAUAUUUGUACUCAUCCCAUGCUCCUUGGAACGAUAUGACCUUAGAUUUAGUGUAAAUUAAUAAAAUCCAAAAUUUGGAAGUGUCACGUAGCUAGGGCAUGGGAACAACUCGUUGAUUGUUCAAAAUGCUAUUGUUUUGGGGAAGUUUUGGUUCGACUUUUUGCAACAGUAGCAAGCUACCAAGUGAUAGUAUAUAUGGUGGUGGUCCUAGAGAUUUUAUUGGCAACCAAGCCACCUUAACUUGACGUCCUUGUCCAUAACCUAUUCAGAACUUAACUUAGAAGGAGAAGCUCCUAGCUAGGGCUCCUUCCACAAAACAAAUAUUGAUCUCAUCGAAGCGUCUAAAGGCUAAUGCACGUCUUCUUCUAUUCAAUGCCUCGGACUUGAAUUAUUAAGUAAUUAGACUCAUAGUGGAUGUUGUUGGAUCGACUUUGUUUGGUACUGGAAAAUAGUGAGAAACUUAAAUCUUGAUGUUUCUGAAUCCCUAGACUUAAGUGAAAGCAAUUCAAACAACAAAAUGAGUGGGAUUGGUUUCUUUUAUGAUGACAAUGAGGAUUUGACAGGACAUAAUAUAUGAAAGUGAGUACAUGCAAUAUAUAUAUGUAACAGAUAUGUGUAAAAGGUCAUAUGCGCGAAUUAUUCAUUUUCAAAGCGAAUGAACCUUAACUAACAUUCCUCUGCUUGAUCAGCUAGUCAAUUUUCUGCUUCAGUUGAAUGAUUUUGCACCAGAUCACCUGGAAGCUUUAUUGUUUGGCAUGAUUGAGCAGCCAAAAAAGGGUUUCUUCAGUGGAUAAUUAGGUGGCAGAUAUCACACGAAUUUUUCUUCGUAUUAAUUUGUACGUAGUAUAUACAGAAAGAAGAACAUAAUUAACAACCAAAAACGAGAAAAUUGUGGAUGCAGUAGAACCAGUCGGGAUCAACCGCAACACUAAUGCAAAUGAUUUUCUUAUAACUUGACAAUAAUAAACCAAUCAAAUAUCAAUUAAUUAGUAGUUUUCACCGAAAAUCGAUGAAACAUUUCUAAUUCUAAAUGAUGCAGCAUUGUUGGCUGUCUCAAAAGAAAUGGCACUUUAAUCUAUAGCUACUUUGGCUUUGCAACUAUCUCUUGCAACUAAUGGAUUUUUAUCAGAUAGCAGAUAGAGCUGUGUGUGGACUGUGAGUGUGAGGUGGGUCUUCUUCAAGGAUACCUAUCUAGCUCUCUGUAUAUAUGCAUGAAAUGAUGGCAAUGAAGAUGAUGGAGGGUCCCGAUCAGCUUUCAUCAUCAUCAUCAUCUCACAGAAUCCCUUGGAUUGAGGAAGAAGAACCUGAAACAUGUAGCAGUAUUAAGCAAUCGAUUAAGCUCUAAUGGAAUUUGCAGCAGCCUUGAGCCGUGGGACCUUUUUUCUUCUGUCUUUAACAUUCAUCAGCCACAGUUUAAAAAGAAGAGAAGAGAAGAGAAGGAAUGUGAUGUGCAUGUGAGCCAACAGCUUUUAUGUUCCCCCCCAAUAUAUAUGUGUCCUUUACAUGAUCGAUCAUCUUCUAAAUUUUCUGAUUAAAACCAACCCAGAAAAUUGUCUUCUUUUGACAUUCGAUGAGUCACACUUUUUCGGGUUAAUUAUGUUUAAGUCAUAGAUAUAGAUUUGCAUGUCUUCUAACUUGUAUCUAAUUUAGGGUCCCAGGAUUAGAAGACAUGCGAGCUAAGGGUCGGCCAUGGUCGGUAUUCGAAUAAUUGCACCGACUAAAAGUAUGUUAUUAGUGGAAUCUCAGGCCCCAAUAUCAUAUCAUACAACUAUAUUAUGGAUCGAAGGAUGAUCAUGAUCAAUGUCUAAUCUCCUUUACAUUCGAAUUCUACCAGUACAUCCAUGCAAGUAGAAUAUACUUGGUAUGAAGUAGUAAAGUCGCUCUCACACGUUUAUAGAAGGAUCUCAUCGAUCUCUUUACAACGUAGAAGAUGAAGGAAUGGCUUUAGGACUUUAACAAAGGAAGGAAGGAAUCAGAAAAGGGAAAGGAGGUGAAAUUUUAAAGGAAAAGAUUGUAGUGGAGGAAUUGGAAGACAAGUCUUUGUUCUUCUCUCCUUUUAACGUAAUUUUCUACAAAGUGAGUUAAAAUUAACUUUUUUUCUUCAUUGGAAAGAAAAAUAGAUUGAUCGAGGCCAUGCAAGCCUAGCUACAUGCAUUAUUUUUUGGUUUUUGAUGACGACCCUUUGGACCUUAGAUUGCUCUCUUAGUCUUUGAGAAGCUAGAAGCUGCUUUAUAAACGUCUUUUUUGAAUGAAAUUUCAUGAACUUUUGCAUGGAAACUAAAUAUUACAUUAUCUUAACCUGUUAUAAUUUCAUAUACAGUGCCUUUCUCACCCAAAUUCGAACAUCAAGAUAUCAAAACCAUGUUAAUGUAUUUUCUUUAUGUAAAGUCAGUACCACCUAAAGUGUUAACAAGCUUUAGGAAACUUGGCUAUAAAGAAGAUAAGAACGAUUUGCUUUAGUAAUCCUAACUUCAUAGAUACUAAUAAUUCAUUCACAGUCGGAUACUGCCAAUUAAUAAGUUAAUUCUCGAUACUGAGCUUUCCAUAUUUCCUAAUCCGGGGAGAACUACUUUCACCCUCCCUAAUCAAAAUUUUCACCUCUCAGAUCGAGGUAAAUUCUUUCUGUAAUAAUUCCAAACACUAGCUUCUCAUUUCAUGCAUGCACUUAUGGAAGUGGGAUGCUCUGUGUGAUUGAAGAAGAUAGAAGGAUCGAAGAAGCCCUAGCCUGUGAAAGAUCGAUAUAUAUAGAAACGUCAGUUUCAUGUAUUAACAACACAAUGGACAAAGAACCUGGGUGCAUUAAUAUUUUUGUAGUUUAAAGAUAAACGGGUUUCUUGUCUGAUGCUCAAUGCAUGCCCAUUUGCUCGUGCUCAGGAUCCAUAUAUAUGUAGAAAUAUAUGAUCCCCUCGUGAUCUUUUUGAAUUUAGUUGUUUCUUUGUCUAAAAUCUUAGAAGAAAAAUAAGCACCUGCAGGAUUCGAAACCUAAUAUUAUCUUUGUUUGACCCAAUUCAAACCUCUCCAUCCAUCGAUCACUUGUGUGCCCACAAGGACCAUCGAUUCAUUUAUAUUGUUUAUGGUUAUUGUUACUGAUACGAUCCAGUUUCAUUGAACACAGAACACAUAUAUUCGAUUGGAGCAACAAUAAUAAAAAUGGUUAAUAGGGUUUUGUGUUGCAGGGAAGAAGUUCGUAAAACAGACAAAAGAGAGUGCGAGAGAAGAGACAAACAGAAGAAAAAGAAAAAGAACCUUGUAAUAGCUCUGUAGUAUGGAAAUAGAAUACAGAAUUUGAUUCUUUCAGAUUUAGAAAGAAGGAAGAUCGAGCUUAUGAGCUAGUGUGUAUGUCUGUCUCUAUGGUUUGGUUAUAUAUAACUAAUUAAACUGUACUAUUACCCAUAAAACACCCCAUUUUAAAUACGGGGUUUUAUCCGUAUUCGCUCUGCGGUUUAAGUUGUCUUUCCUUGAAAUUCUCAUUCCCAGGCAGUAUAAUAAGCUGGUUUAAGAAGAAGAAAAAAUGACAAAAAGCUUGGUUUCGAUCUGUAGAAAUAAUUUAUAAGUUUUUGGAAGCUAGGUAUCGGCGUUGGUCAUGUGAGAGAGGAGGUGGGGUUUUGGUUUCACUUUUGCUGCGUUUUAGAAAUUGGAAUAGAAUCUUCUUGCUCUUCAGCACACAUCAUAUACAGAGAGAAUAGAGAGAUUGGUGAUAUUAGACUAGACCGGACACAAUGAAUAAUGAGAGAGAGAGAGAGAGAGAGAGAGAGUGGUGAUGGCAUGGAUGGAUGAUUUCAGUAGUGAUGGUGUGGUGGUGGGCUCGGUGAAGAAGGAUCAUAUAUGCCUGAGUUUCCUGACAUUUAACUUGUGAAUUAUUCAGCUUUGUUUGUUUUUCGAGAUCUCCAUACUCUGUGGACCCUUGGCUGUCUAGCUAGGUUUACCCACGAAUCCACAUUUUUCACUUCGAGCUGUUAAUCUAAGCUAGCUAAUCCACUGUUGGUGAACCUUUCUGUACCAAUUCUCAAUCAGUACAAAUAACUGUGAUUCUAAAUCUACUUAAUUAGGAGUACUGAGAUUAAUUGGUUUGUUUGAGCUGAGGAUAUCUACAAUGUACAUGGGUGGGGGUAGUUUGUAUAUUCCCUAAAGAUGUAUGGCCAAGAAAUAAUAAUUCCCAAAAAUAUGCAUGUAACAUGAACAAGGGUACUGUGGGGAGGUAAUAAAUAUAAGCUGUGCAGAGGAAGAAAACAAAGCAAGAAUCACGAGAAUGGUAACCUACAGAGAGAAGAGAACGUACCCCAUCAAAAAUAAAAGGGACUACAAGCCCCUGCAUGUUGCUACCCUACUGUUUCCAUGUCAGCCGCUGAAACGGUGCAGAACUCCUGCGCUGCUUUCUCUCUCUCAGCUGCAGCUGCAGGGUUAGGUUCCGUGUGUUUUUGUUUUUGGCUACCCAGCUCUGGGAAUUUUAAAGAAAGAAAAAGGCAAACAAUGUGUAAGAACUUAGAAGGUGUGUGUCUCAGUGCCCUGAUCUGUGUUUUUAUCUUCUUCGAUCUUAUUAUGCUGGCUAGCAAGCUUAGCUGGUUAUCAAAGGAACCAUUUCCCAUUUUAAUUGAAUAUCGGGACUUGAAGCUACCGGACAUUUCUUCGUGUUAUUUUCUAUAUUAAUUCCCUUUAAUUUCUUUUAAACCCUAAAACCUUCUGCACUGUGCAAGUCUGACAUGCAUAUAUAUAAAUACAGAGAUAUUUCGUGAGGCGAUUCCCAGUUCUUGUAUAUUGUUUCUCCUUUUCGAUACUUAAAAUGCUCUUGUAUCAAAUUGAGUUUUUCUUUGAGUUUAUGCUUGGCUGCUUGCCCAAAAGGGAGAGGGUCAGAAAUGCCAUUCAAAUACAUGUAUGUGUCUCUCCUUUUGUAACAGUGAUCAGGCAUAUCUUUUCUAGUUCUAUCAAGGCUAAAAUGUAUUAUUAUUCCAAGCUAAUAAUAUAAACUGGUUUACCCAAAACUGUUUAUCCAGAUCAAUUUGAAGUGGGGAGGGAGAUGGUGGCAGAAGUGAAAAGAAAUGGGACAUUUCAUGUGUCUUAACUUUUGAUUUUACAAUAAUGAGAGAAUAUAUGAUGGGCAAUGAUCAAAAUAAUUAGUCGAGGAUCUAUAUGAUAUAAUUAUUCAUCAUUUUCCUAUUGUUUUCACUUUGUUCCUGGAUGAGAUAGAACACCUGAUUGUUGUGUCCCUACUCCUCGACCCCUCCGUUACACUAUCCUUAAUUUCUUGCCGUCAGUCCGGCCUUCUACUUUAAUCACAAAUUAAAUUCCUUAUUUCCUUAAUUACUUCUAUAGGGGAUUCCUCGGUGCCCAGUACUCAAUUACAGUGACUUCCAUGCAAUCUAAUCCAGCUAGUUCAGAAUAUCAGAUAUGUCACAUUCAAUUUUGACACUUCAAGUUAACGUAAAACACCAUUUUUGAAAAGGAGUUUAUAAUACUCGUUGUUAUCACAUACUAGGACUUGGAGACUCUAAAAUAAAUUGUAACCUAAAACCCGGCCUAAUGAUCGAGAUUAUCAUGGUUCCUAUGGAAGAAUGUUUUUUUUUUUUGAACUUCCUAUGGAAGAAUGUUCUUUGGGCCAUUACAGAGACGGAAGAGGAGGAAAUGAAAGAAAUGUGUAAUAUCUAGAUUUUUGUUUUUUUUCAUUUGGAAANNNNNNNNNNNNNNNNNNNNGAGAGAGAGAGAACAGAUCGAGCAGGCUAAAGGGCCAAAGGUGAGGGUGGUGCAUGGUGUUGUAAGUUAGUGAGUAAAGCUUGUAGCGGUCAGAGAAAGAGAGAAGAGCACUGUCUAGGUCGACUAACCCUUAUGCUAAAUCAUUCAUAUUGAAAUUUGGAACAUUAUGGGGAAAAACUGGAAAAAGAAAGAAGAAGAAGAAGAGAAGCUAGGAAAGGCAGAAAGAGAAAGAAAUGGAAGAAAGAGUAAUAUAAGAAGCAGAAGAGAAGAGAAGGAAGAAAUGUCGUCAUGAAUGAGAAGAAUACAAUACACAGGCUUUCAAUCCCAUCACGUAGUUCGAUGUAUCCUUUACCUUAUAUCUGCUAGAGAGCUGUAUGUGUUAGUAGCAGUCGUAAUAGAAAACUAGAAACCAGAAAGAGAAAAGAGGAAGAAAAUGAUGGGGUUAGAAAUUGGAAACUGUGUUUGGUUUGCAGAGUAGCAUAUUAAAACAAACAAAGGAAACCUACAAAUUGAAAAGAGAACACUCGGUUUGACGUGAGAGACAUCCCCAAUUACCUUUCCUUUUCCUUUCUUCCCAUCUUUUUUACUCUUUUACAUUACCCCAGUAUUACUAUAGUUUAUACUCCAUUGACCCAAAAUACCCUUCUUCUUCAAGAUUCUCUACAAUUAACGAUGCAUCUGUGUUUAAUUAAGGGGAGUUGAGCACUCGAGUCUAAACCCUCCAUCUUUAUAGUUUAUAACACCUAGGUUUACAUGUAGGUAGCUUGGUUAGUAUACAAGAAUUAUUGUCGUAAUCUUGCUUAGAAAUCUGUAUACGAGCUCUAGUUGCAUUUAUGGCAUUAGGGAAUGUUCAUUUCUACUGUCAUCCAAAUAUACGUACAAUAUCGAAAAAGAAAAUGUAGAUCAUGCAAAACAACAUAAAUAUGGUACGAUCCGAAUGUUAUAAUUAAGGUAACCAAUCGGAUCGACAUUAAAAAUGUGUUCGAAAUAAGUUUUGUAUUUAAAAUACUCCGGUUCAAAUUGAAAGGGUUAUCAAUACUCAUACGAUAACUAAAGAGUCUUUAUAGUUAGUUACAUGUAGUUUCUCUUAUUUCAUAAAACGUUUAGAUAUUGUAGUGUCAUACACAGUGAUCAUCCAAUUUUAGAAAUCCAUUGUACGUGAAAACCCCAUACAUCAUUUUGGAGAAACAAAGACACAUACGGAAAAGGAGAAUCCCAACCCAAGAGAUGCAAUCAAAGAAACAAAAGGAUAAGAUCGAGGGUAAAUCAAACCCUAGUUUUGGGAAGGGGGGUAAAGAAAUGAAGGAAAUGGUAAAUUUGAAAAGACAAAGGGCACAGCACACUGCUCUUCCCCUGUGCGUGAUUUUUAAGUGGGUGUGCGCGGGAUCAAAAUUGUCAGUACUGGUGUACAAAAACAAUGAAAGAAAGAGAGAGAGAGAGGAAGGGGUCACGGGUUUGUCUUGAAAGGCCCUUAUUUCACACUCCCAGACUCAGACACAUAUUCUUUCUCUUUUUCCUCCUCUCUCGCAAGAAGAGAGAAAUCGAUCAUUUCCAAAUAUUUAAACCCCCCAAAACCCAACCAAAAAACAAAAACAAAUACCACAUUACCACCACAACUCUCCUUUUAUCCUACUCCAUUUUUAUCCCUCCCAUCUCUCUCACUCCUCUCUUCUUAAAACCCUCUCCUUCCUCUCAGAUCUCUCUCUCCCUCUCUCUAUCUCUUCCUGCUUCUCUAAUGGCUUUGAUGAUAGACAACUGCGGCGAAGGCAUACUCCUCUCUCUCGACUCCCACAAAUCUGUCCCGGCUCCGUUUCUCACCAAAACGUACCAGCUCGUCGACGAUCCCGUCACCGACCACAUCGUCUCUUGGGGCGAAGACGACACCACCUUCGUCGUCUGGCGUCCUCCGGAGUUCGCCCGCGACCUCCUCCCCAACUACUUCAAGCACAACAACUUCUCCAGCUUCGUCCGCCAGCUCAACACCUAUGUAUGCAUCUAACGAAUGUGUUUUUUUGUAUCUAUCGUUUUCGUUUCUGUUUUUGAGCUUUGCACUGAGACUGUUGUUCGGUCAUGUUAGGGUUUCAGAAAGAUCGUGCCGGACAGGUGGGAGUUCGCCAACGAGUUUUUCAAGAAAGGUGAGAAGCAUUUGCUCUGCGAGAUCCACCGCCGCAAGACGGCUCAGCCGACACAGCUCCCCAUCAACCACCAUCAGUACCACCCGCAUUCGCCGCUCGGCAGCCACCACGUCGUCACCGGUCCCGGAUUCUUCCCCUUCCCACGUGGCAGCAACUCGCCUUCCGACUCCGACGACUUUCCCAACUGGUGUGACGACUCGCCGCCGCCACUCGUGUCAUCUCCACCUUCCGGCUGCGGUGGUGGUCCCCUCAACACUGGCUACUGCAGUAACGUUGCGACCACUACCACCGUGACAGCUCUGUCGGAGGACAACGAGAGGCUGAGGCGGAGCAACACCAUGCUGAUGUCGGAGCUCAACCAUAUGAGGAAGCUUUACAACGAUAUCAUCUACUUCGUUCAGAACCAUGUCAAGCCUGUCGCUCCCAGCAAUUCUUACCCAGGUUCUCUACUUCUCUGCAACCCAACACAAAACACACUCAACCCCAACAACUCAUCCGCCGCCAUCCACAAGCCUCUCAACCAGGUUUUUGGGUACCACAAUAACCCUAAGCAAACCCAACCACAUCAUCAGCCAAUGGCCCAUGUCAUGAUGAACAACAACGUUAACGUCUCGUCUCCGACCACCGCCAAGAGUACUAGCUCGGUGACGAUUAUCGAAGACCGGCCCGGCAACAACAAUGGGUGCAAGACCAAACUGUUUGGGGUUCCACUGCUGCAUUCGAAGAAGAGACUGCACCCGGAGUACAACAACGGCUCGAACCACACAGCCAUGGAAGCAACUAAAGCUCGCUUGAUUUUGGAGAAGGAUCAUGAUUUAGGUCUUCACCUUAUGCCCCCAUCCACAUGUUAGUCAGCUACUUAAAUUUAGAAAGGUGUCGUCUUUUUCUCCAAAACCCAUCAAUCAAAAUUAAACUACGUACUUAGCUAGCUAGCUUUAAAGGUUUCAUCUUUUUGGUCCUAGUCUUUUUUGUUUGCUUGUAUUCUGGAUCUGAUCAUGAGAUAUGUGUGGGUGUUUGUGAUGUCUGUAUAUAUAUGACUUUUAGUGCCGGUAAUUUCCCACCGCUAUGAAUGCAGGUGUGGGUUUUGGGUAGAGUGAUCGAUGAAAUAUUAUGCAAGAUCUUAUCUUGAAUUUCGGUUGAAGUUUUAGUUUCAUAAAUUCAUAGCUUUUGUUGGAUUUUCAGUGAGGCUAUUAAUUGCUCUCGAUUUUUGAAUCUAUUACUUUCUUCUUCGAUCUUCUUCUCCUUCCUGAACCCUGCAGGCCUUCAGUUUCUCUGAAUGUAAUGCCUGAUCGAGUAUGUUUCAGUUGCAUUAAUGCCUGCCUGAGAAGACAGACAGGGGUGUUUGUGACAAUUUGCAGUCUGGUCCAUUUCCAAUUUUCUCUAGGCCUUUCUCUGAUAAUGAGUUCUAUUAUUGGGUUCAUAACUUCAUACAUUCAUACGUACAACUCUCUCUGACCCUGCUGGGACUAAAACCCAAAAUAUAAA